UACGUAGGUGGCUAGCGUUGUCCGGAUUUACUGGGCGUAAAGAGCGCGCAGGCGGUCGUUUCAAGUCGAGUGUGAAAGCCCCCGGCUCAACUGGGGAGGGUCACUCGAUACUGAUCGACUCGAAGGCAGAAGAGGGAAGCGGAAUUCCCGGUGUAGUGGUGAAAUGCGUAGAUAUCGGGAGGAACACCAGUGGCGAAGGCGGCUUUCUGGUCUGCUCUUGACGCUGAGGCGCGAAAGCUAGGGUAGCAAACGGG
rnacentral:rRNA from 1 species